rnacentral:lncRNA from 1 species
CGUCAUCGUCAUCGUCAUCGUCAUCGUCAUCGUCAUCGUCAUCGUCAUCGUCAUCGUCAUCGUCAUCGUCAUCGUCAUCGUCAUCGUCAUCGUCAUCGUCAUCGUCAUCGUCAUCGUCAUCGUCAUCGUCAUCGUCAUCGUCAUCGUCAUCGUCAUCGUCAUCGUCAUCGUCAUCGUCCAUCGUCCUCGUCCUCGUCCUCGUCCUCGUCCUCGUCCUCGUCCUCGUCCUCGUCCUCGUCCUCUUCCCCGUCCUCGUCCUCGUCCUCGUCCUCGUCCUCGUCCUCGUCCUCGUCCUCGUCGUCUCGUCGUCGUCGUCGUCUCGUCGUCCUCGUCCACGUCGUCGUCGUCGUC